rnacentral:rRNA from 1 species
AUGAGGUGUGGAUAGGGGAGAAAUUCCAAUCGAACCCGGAGAUAGCUGGUUCUCCUCGAAAUAGCUUUAGGGCUAGCCUCAUGCAAGUCUUACGGAGGUAGAGCACUGAAUUCCUAAGGGGGCGUCAAAGCUUACCAAGGGAUAUCAAACUCCGAAUGCCGUGUAGAUGGUGCAUGGGAGUCAGACUAUCCGAGAUAAGUUGGGUAGUCAAAAGGGAAAGAGCCCAGACCUACAGCUAAGGUCCCAAAAUGUGUGUUAAGUGGAAAAGGAUGUGGGAUUUCGAAGACAACUAGGAUGUUGGCUUAGAAGCAGCCAUCCAUUAAAAGAGUGCGUAAUAGCUCACUAGUCGAGAGGUCCUGCGCCGAAAAUGUCCGGGGCUGAAACACACUACCGAAGCUUGGGAAUUGACGAAUGUUAAUUGGUAGAGGAGCAUUCUUAACGGGGCGAAGCUGUACCGGAAGGAGCAGUGGACUGUUAAGAAGAGAGAAUGCCGGAAUGAGUAGCGAGAGGAAGGUGAGAAUCCUUCCGGCCGAAUAUCUAAGGUUUCCAGAGUAAAGCUGAUCUGCUCUGGGUAAGUCGGGGCCUAAGGCGAGGUCGAAAGACGUAGUCGAUGGAUAACAGGUAAAGAUUCCUGUACUAUAUCAUAACAGAACUGUGGGGACGCAGACAGAGAGCAUAAGCCGGGAAUGGAAAAACCGGUACAAGCGAGGUAGGAGUGCAUCAGGCAAAUCCGGUGCACAAUCUGAAGACGUGAUGUGGGGCGUAAAGCCGGAAGUAUGUGAGCUGGCUGCCAAGAAAAGCCGCUAUUGUUUAUGAUAUACCCGUACCGUAAACCGACACAGGUGGAUGAGGAGAGAAUCCUAAGGCCGACGGGAGAAGCAUUGUUAAGGAACUCGGCAAAAUGACUCCGUAACUUCGGGAGAAGGAGUGCCAUGUAAAAGUGGCCGCAGAGAAUUGGCCCAAGCAACUGUUUAGCAAAAACACAGGUCUAUGCAAAACCGAAAGGUGAGGUAUAUGGGCUGACGCCUGCCCGGUGCUGGAAGGUUAAGGGGAGAGGUUAGCCGUAAGGCGAAGCUUUGAACUUAAGCCCCAGUAAACGGCGGCCGUAACUAUAACGGUCCUAAGGUAGCGAAAUUCCUUGUCGGGUAAGUUCCGACCCGCACGAAAGGCGUAAUGAUUUGGGCACUGUCUCAACAAUGCACCCGGUGAAAUUGAAAUACCAGUGAAGAUGCUGGUUACCUGCGCCAGGACGGAAAGACCCCAUGGAGCUUUACUCCAGCUUGAUACUGGGAUUCGAUAUUGCAUGUACAGGAUAGGUGGGAGACUGAGAACUGAUGACGCCAGUUGUCAGGGAGUCACUGUUGGGAUACCACCCUUGUAGUAUUGGAUUUCUAACCAGCAGCCGUGAACCGGCUGGGGGACAAUGUCAGGUGGGGAGUUUGACUGGGGCGGUCGCCUCCGAAAGGGUAUCGGAGGCGCUCAAAGGUUCCCUCAGAAUGGUUGGAAACCAUUCGAAGAGUGCAAAGGCAGAAGGGAGCUUGACUGCGACACCGACGGGUGGAGCAGGUACGAAAGUAGGACUUAGUGAUCCGGUGGUAUAAAGUGGGAUUGCCAUCGCUCAACGGAUAAAAGCUACCCUGGGGAUAACAGGCUUAUCACUCCCAAGAGUUCACAUCGACGGAGUGGUUUGGCACCUCGAUGUCGGCUCAUCGCAUCCUGGGGCUGAAGUAGGUCCCAAGGGUUGGGCUGUUCGCCCAUUAAAGCGGUACGCGAGCUGGGUUCAGAACGU